GACAAAAAAGAUUGGAUCGCAUUUUCUAACUUAUUUGAAAUGACAAAUUGAGUAAUAAUUUCAAUUUAUAGCAUCUUAAAGAUUUUCAACAUCAGCAGCAUAUCCUAAUUUAUUAAAUAUGACCGAACUUCAGAGGUGUGACAGAAGUUGCCGUUUCAUGAAAUUUGUUUCCAUUCUUCUCAGUGUAACAUGUUCCUCCAUGUGUCAACAGGAUGUUGUGAGAUAGGAAUCAGUCCAGCAGCAGCUUUAAAACACCACCUUAUUUAUUCCACUUAUUUCUUUUUUUUUUCUUUUUGUUUAAACCUCAUCUUGUUACAAUCCAGCAGCCAAAAAACAUACGAAACACUUGUAACGGUUUCUCUGUGGUUUUUAAUCAGGAGCGUACAUUCGCGCCCAGUAGGCAAACUGUGUGCAGGCGUGUCGCCCCGCAGGCUUUCUGUUUACAUUUUAGGCAGCAGUCGGUAGAGUUCGGAUGAGCCUCUCUUAACAAGAAGUCCUUUUAGGCGUUUCGCAUUCAUCUCUGGAGCAACACCUGCCGUUUUCCCUGCUGCUAUUCUGGAGCAGCUCCUCUAAGAUCCGCGGCUCGGCUGUCACUGGCUCCUGCUGCUCAGCGGCCCGCUGCGGGGGCCGACAGAGGCCGGCGGCUCCCUCUGGCAGCCGCUGUCUGCGUGAUGGCUGAAUCUUAGCUGCCCAAAAUGACAACAGCUUCUUUUUUUCCCCCCCGACUCCUACAACUCCCGUCCUGGCAACGUUUGGAGGAUUUAUCCGUGAAACGGAGCCUGAAUACUACGAGUGACCUCUCUGAAACCGCUGCAUUGUCAGAGCCGUUCACAGUUUGAAGAUCUGACUAGAGAAGAAGAAUCUCGACAUUCUUUCACAGGCACAUUUAACUCAGGUCAGAUGUACCCAUGGUAAGCUUGAUGUGAUCCAACGGGAUGCUUUUAAAUUCUCACUGAUGUUUCCUGGAAAAGUUCUGCAGCCGCUAAUACUACCGCCGAAAAGGAUGUACAUAGAGGAAAAUCUGUGGCAGAUCCUCAUCCGUCGCGGCUCUCAACUCAGACAACUGAAGAUGUGUCCAGGAGUGAAGGACUAAAGUCAAUUUGGGGACAACAAGCUUCAUAGCCUGCUUAUGUUUUUUUUUUAUUUUUUUUUUAAUUUUUUUUUAUGCCUUUUGCUUCACACCAAACCAACUGUUAUUUGGCAUCACAUCGGUGUUUGUGAAUUGUUUUAGAAAUUAAAUCCUGUUAGCCUACGUCACCUCCUGCAUAUUUAACGCAGCCCUUUCAGGUUUUAUUGGUUGCAGUAAAAGCUAGUCUGUUAUUAAUAGAGGAGAUGAGUAAAAUGCUGCCGCGCGUAACGCAGCGUUUUCGAAAGGUUCGGUCCUAACGGAGAGAUGAAAAUGUCAACAGCCCUCACGUCGCUCGUUCAGGCAUGAAGCGGCUUACUGGAGGUGCCUGUGCGGAUGUUUUAAAUUAAGCGUUUAUACUUCAGUCCCGACAAGCCGGACCUUUAUACACGUUAUUAAAAGUGGACUUGAUGAAACAUUUUUAUCGUUACUUUGUAAUUCUCCUUGAUAGUUAUUUCCGGUCCUUCAACCCGACCAUGAAACGUGGCGCGCUGUGUGUUCACCAGGAAACAGGAGGACAAAACAAGAGGUGUCACACUAUCCAAAAAUAUAUACAUCUAAAAGUCCUGCCUUUUAAAACCACUGGACUUGAGAAGCAAAUUAUUCUUCAGUUUCUCAUCUUAAUAAAUGUAAGGUUUUCAUCUUAUAGUCCUCCUUUUUAAAGACAGGGAAUUUCUUGUGCCCACGUUUUAUGCGCAACGUUUCAAAAAGGCAGACGUUUAUGGCGGUGUGACAAUUCCUUACUUUUACCAUUUUAUGCUUGCAUGGAAACCUUUGCAUUUGAAUGCAAACGAAUAAAUAGGUUAUUAUUGGAUUAAUAUUCACUGCAGCAAGCUGUUGACUCCUGAAUAUCUCCAGAAGGUAGAUUCUCCGCUUGCUGUGGCCCGGCUUCCAUCUAGUGGUGAAACUCUGCAGAUACAAAAAGAGAGAGGAAAAAACAAAUCCAUGGAUCUACUGUCUUUAUAGUGUUUGUGAAUCCUGGCCCUCAUGAUCCACUGAUAUCUACGUUUUAGGUGCUUCCCUUCCUACAAAGUGGGAUCAUCGGGCCUCUGAUGCGUUUUGUGGCAUCCCGAGGAUCAAUGUGUCACCUGACCAGAACUCACUUACCAGUUAGCUUGUCUCUGUCAUAACAAAUUGUAUCAAAUAAAAACUGUG